CUACGGGUUGCUCCAGUGGGGAAUAUUGGACAAUGGGGGAAACCCUGAUCCAGCAAUGCCGCGUGUGUGAAGAAGGCCUGCGGGUUGUAAAGCACUUUCGGUUGGGAGGACUGCUUCUAGCACUAAUAUUGUUGGAAGUUGACGUUACCUUCAGAAGAAGCACCGGCUAACUCCGUGCCAGCAGCCGCGGUAAUACGGAGGGUGCAGGCGUUAAUCGGAAUUACUGGGCGUAAAGCGCGCGUAGGCGGCUAGAUCAGUCGGGUGUGAAAGCCCCGGGCUUAACCUGGGAACUGCAUCCGAUACUGUCUAGCUUGAGUACAGGAGAGGAGAGUGGAAUUCCACAUGUAGCGGUGAAAUGCGUAGAUAUGUGGAGGAACACCAAUGGCGAAGGCAGCUCUCUGGCCUGAUACUGACGCUGAGGUGCGAACGCGUGGGGAGCAAACAGGAUUAGAUACCCCUGUAGUC
rnacentral:rRNA from 1 species